rnacentral:rRNA from 1 species
CCUACGGGAGGCAGCAGUGGGGAAUAUUGCACAAUGGGGGAAACCCUGAUGCAGCGACGCCGCGUGAGCGAUGAAGUAUUUCGGUAUGUAAAGCCCUAUCAGCAGGGAAGAAAAUGACGGUACCUGACCAAGAAGCCCCGGCUAACUACGUGCCAGCAGCCGUGGUAAUACGUUGGGGGCCAGCGUUAUCCGGAUUUACCGGGUGUUAAGGGGGCGUAGACGGCUGUGCAAGCCAGAUGUGAAAGCCCGGGGCCCAACCCCGGGACUGCAUUUGGAACUGUGGGGCUGGAGUGUCGGAGAGGCAGGCGGAAUUCGUGGUGUAGCGGUGAAAUGCGUAGAUAUUAGGAAGAACACCAGUGGCGAAGGCAGCCUGCUGGACGAAGACUGACGUUGAGGCUCGAAAGCGUGGGGAGCAAACAGGAUUAGAUACCCGAGUAGUC